UCCGGUUGAUCCUGCCGGAGGCCACUGCUAUGGGGGUCCGACUAAGCCAUGCGAGUCAUGGGGCGCCUUGCGCGCACCGGCGGACGGCUCAGUAACACGUCGGUAACCUACCCUCGGGAGGGGGAUAACCCCGGGAAACUGGGGCUAAUCCCCCGUAGGCCUGAGGUACUGGAAGGUCCUCAGGCCGAAAGGGUCUUUGACCGCCCGAGGAUGGGCCGGCGGCCGAUUAGGUAGUUGGUGGGGUAACGGCCCACCAAGCCGAAGAUCGGUACGGGCCAUGAGAGUGGGAGCCCGGAGAUGGACACUGAGACACGGGUCCAGGCCCUACGGGGCGCAGCAGGCGCGAAACCUCCGCAAUGCUCGAAAGAGCGACGGGGGGACCCCCAGUGCCGUGGCAUCGCCACGGCUUUUCCGGAGUGUAAAGAGCUCCGGGAAUAAGGGCUGGGCAAGGCCGGUGGCAGCCGCCGCGGUAAUACCGGCGGCCCGAGUGGUGGCCGCUAUUAUUGGGCCUAAAGCGUCCGUAGCCGGGCCAGUAAGUCCCUGGCGAAAUCCCACGGCUCAACCGUGGGGCUUGCUGGGGAUACUGCUGGCCUUGGGACCGGG
rnacentral:rRNA from 1 species